CUGGGGUUUCAGUUCAAUCCCGCUCUGGCCGCGUCCGCGCUUGGAGCCCUUUCUCGCCCUCACCCCGGACUCCGGGGCCCCGGGUCCACAGCGAACACCCCGCUCCCCACAUCUUCCCGACGCGAUGCGCCUGCCCAGAGUCGAGGAUUCCAGGGCGUCCCUCACCUUCGUGUUGUCCUGCAGGGCCCGGGGGACGGUCAGCUCUGAGGGGACACGGUAUGGGGGGGCUUCUGCGCCCCCGCCCCUGCGUUACCUCCUCAGUGGUGGACAGCGCCUGCAGUUUGUCAACCAGGUGCCCGCAGAGCCCGGCCCAGUGGGCGCGGAGCCCCCCGCCCCUCCCUAACACCCCGGGAGUGCCCAGGAGCUGUACCCAGAGGUGGGAGCACCGCACAGCCGUCUUGAUUCUCUCCAGCAGAGCAGUCAGAUUCGCCUGGUACUCGAUGUCGGCCUGGGAGGUCUCUUUUUUCCUCACUGGGCGGAGCAGAGGGAAGGAUGGCCAGCGUGCAGGCGGACUGGGAACAGAGGUCUCUGCACCUGCCCUCUCGUCAGGGCGGGCCCCCCAAGAGCUGGGUCCCUGUCACAGGUGCUUGCACCUUACCCCGCUUCCAGGCAAACCGGCCCUUCAAGGGUGCCCCUGGGCAUUGUCUCCAGAGGGGAACCACGGAGCCUGGCUCGGUGGGGCUUAGGGGGGCUUCUCGGAGGCGGCUCAGAGGGCCCGAGCUGUCUCUUCUGAGGAGUCAUUGGGUGACCAGGCCCUGGGGUGCCUGUGGGGUUUGCAGCUAAGAAGCCAAAGGUUCAGUAAUUGGCCAUGAGCCCAAAGCAGGUGGCCUUGAAGCUGGUGGCCACAGGCGCCCCACCUCUGCAGGUAUGACCAGGGGGAGGCAGGGGCACGCCCCCUCCCUCCCUCGGUGACCUGUCUGGGUGGCUCCAGCCAGUGCUGGCCUCUCAGGUCCUGGUUGGGGCGGGUGGGAGCAGAGCUCUCACCUUUCAGGCUCUCCGCACUCAUCAGAUUGGUGGGGAAGUCCAAGUCCCUCCGGCCCUGCUGGACGGGGUGGGGUGAGGUGAGCAGCAUCCUCCACAGAGGAGCCCCCCAGACCCCGGCUGCACCGGCCGUGGGCACUCACCCGGCGGAACUUCUCACUGGUCUCCUUGGUGUGGAUCUUGUCGAUCAUCUUCUUCUGCUGGUUCAGCCUGUUCUCCCGGGCCCGGCGCUCCUCGAUGAAGGUCGCCUCCUUCUGCCGCAAGUUCAUCUAGGGACACAGGCAGGCGGUGGGAGUCCGUCCCAGGGAGGCCUCCCCCGUGCUAACUCCAGUGGUCACUUCCCCCGAAUUCCUAGAUUUGAGAACAGCCAUCGAGGCUGUCGGCCAGGCCUUCUUCCUGCAACACGGUGCCCAGCGCUUUUACCAUUCUGCUUCCCUCCCUGCACUGCGCUCCUCCACCCCAGUCCGCAGGAGUCAGCUGGCCACAGGCAUGGCACCGGCCCUCUGCAGCCUUCUGCCCAGCCCCCCUCGGAACUCAUACUGGAGUGUCUAAAAACCAACUCUUCAUCUUUCUCCAAACCUGGCCUCUUCCUGUCCUGCUCCCGUGGCUGUGCAUUCUGGGGGCUGCUCCCUUUCACGUCUAACUCAGUGCCCCCUCCUCGGGUGACCACUCAAAGGCUUCUCAGCCCUCUGGGUUCGCUGCCCCCCCCCCCCCCCACUCUGCCAUGGGUCUGGCCCCAGUGACCAGCCUCUGGGCCCCUCUGGUCUGCAGCCAGAACACACCUGUUUGGAAACACAAAUGGGGUCCCAUCUGGCCUGUUUCCUCCCAGGGCUCUAGGUUAGGGGGACAGGCUCCAGGAUGGGGGGGGGGGGGCGAACCCUGAGCCCCAGCCACCCACAGCUGCCACUGCUCUCCGCCCGCUCCUCUGCAGCUUCGCCCCAGCUCCUGUGCGUCCUGCGGGCCCCCAGCAGCCAGCAGCCCACAGCACCCAGGUCUCUGCUGUGCUGGCCAGAGCCUGCGUGACACGGACAACUGCAUGAGUGGCCACCUCCUCACGUGCCCCUUCCCGAGGACGGCUUUGAGGGGGCCUCGGCACAGACUGGGCGGGUUGGUGGCCCUGCCCAGCCCAAGCCAGGUCUCUCUCUCCUCUGUCUACCCCAUGGCUUCCUGACGAGGAGGCUCCCUCUGUCCAGGGCCACAGUGUGAGCAGUGGGCGGUCUGGACUUUGGCGGUCGGAGGUGGUAAGGCACGGAGGUGUCCUGAGGAGGCCUGGGCCAGACGGGUGUGCACAGAGCCCUGCAGGGCCCCAGCCAGGGGCCUGUGCUCACCUUGACCUCAUCCGUAAUCAUCAUGGCAUCUUGGGACAUGACUGUCAUGUCCGACAGCUCCGAGCAGUAGUCAGCCAUCAGGUUCUGCAGCUUGUCCAGCUGGGUGGGGUAUCCUGACAGCUCCUGAGGGCAGGGCAGGUGGGCACAGACCGGAUGGCACCUCCCCUGGCCUCCCCGUUCUCUGUGGCCCCACAGGGUGGCCUGUGCCCACCCCCCACACCUACACCGCAGACUGAGCGCCCCGAGUAUGGGGCCAGAGGGGCUCGCUGGACAUGGGUUCGGGGUCAGAGACUCAGGGCUCGAGGGACAGGCUGCCCUGACCAGCUCCUCCGGUUCCCGUCCCAGCGGAGAUCCCGGCCCUGCACACGGGCUGGGCCUGAGGCCCCGGCCCCUGCCGCCAGCGGGACCCCCGGGGCUGGGCUCACUUUCUUCAGAAGGUACAGCGAGCGCCAGAGGCCAGCCCUGGGGGGCGUGUCUCACGCACCUAGCCCCGCCUUCCCGCGGAGCCCCGCCCCCAGCCCACCUCCCAGAGGCCCCGCCUUCUCGCCGAGCCCCGCCCCCACCUGCAGCAGGCGCAGCU